rnacentral:rRNA from 1 species
AAUCAACGCUGGCGGCGUGCCUCAGACAUGCAAGUCGAACGCGAAAGUUUCCUUCGGGGGACAAGUAGAGUGGCGCACGGGUGAGUAACACGUAGGUAAUCUACCUUUGGAUGGGGAAUAACAACCGGAAACGGUUGCUAAUACCGCAUAAUGCAGCGGCACCUAAUGGUGACAGUUGUUAAAGCGGGGGAUCGAAAGACCUCGCGUCUGAAGAGGAGCCUGCGGCGGAUUAGCUAGUGGUAAGGUAAUGGCUUACCAAGGCUACGAUCCGUAACCGGCCUGAGAGGGCGGUCGGUCACACUGACACUGACAUACGGGUCAGACUCCUACGGGAGGCAGCAGUGAGGAAUAUUGCUCAAUGGGCGGAAGCCUGAAGCAGCGACGCCGCGUGAAGGAUGAAAUCCGUUAGGAUGUAAACUUCUUUUGCGGGGAAGAAUGUGCGCCUUGGGCGCAUUGACGGUACCCGUGAAUAAGCACCGGCCAACUACGUGCCAGCAGCCGCAGUAA